CUAACAGGAUUAGAUACCCUGGUAGUCCACGCCGUAAACGAUGUCGACUUGGAGGCUGUUUCCUUGAGAAGUGGCUUCCGGAGCUAACGCGUUAAGUCGACCGCCUGGGGAGUACGGCCGCAAGGUUAAAACUCAAAUGAAUUGACGGGGGCCCGCACAAGCGGUGGAGCAUGUGGUUUAAUUCGAUGCAACGCGAAGAACCUUACCUGGCCUUGACAUCCAGAGAACUUAGCAGAGAUGCUUUGGUGCCUUCGGGAACUCUGAGACAGGUGCUGCAUGGCUGUCGUCAGCUCGUGUUGUGAAAUGUUGGGUUAAGUCCCGCAACGAGCGCAACCCUUAUCCUUUGUUGCCAGCGGGUAAUGCCGGGAACUCAAAGGAGACUGCCGGUGAUAAACCGGAGGAAGGUGGGGAUGACGUCAAGUCAUCAUGGCCCUUACGGCCAGGGCUACACACGUGCUACAAUGGCGCAUACAAAGAGAAGCGACCUCGCGAGAGCAAGCGGACCUCAUAAAGUGCGUCGUAGUCCGGAUCGGAGUCUGCAACUCGACUCCGUGAAGUCGGAAUCGCUAGUAAUCGUAGAUCAGAAUGCUACGGUGAAUACGUUCCCGGGCCUUGUACACACCGCCCGUCACACCAUGGGAGUGGGUUGCAAAAGAAGUAGGUAGCUUAACCUCCGGGAGGGCGCUUACCACUUUGUGAUUCAUGACUGGGGUGAAGUCG
rnacentral:rRNA from 1 species